UACGUAGGGGGCGAGCGUUGUUCGGAUUUACUGGGCGUAAAGGGCGCGUAGGCGGCGUGGUAAGUCAAUUGUGAAAUCUCCGAGCUUAACUCGGAACGGUCAAUUGAUACUGCUGUGCUAGAGUACAGAAGGGGCAAUCGGAAUUCUUGGUGUAGCGGUGAAAUGCGUAGAUAUCAAGAGGAACACCUGAGGUGAAGACGGGUUGCUGGGCUGAUACUGACGCUGAUGCGCGAAAGCUAGGGUAGCAAACGGG
rnacentral:rRNA from 1 species